AAUAAGAUGGCUGAGUUAUAGGCGGUAAAUUGUAAAUUUACUUACGAAUGAUAUUCUCUUAUU
rnacentral:tRNA from 1 species